ACACCUCAACUCUCAUGGUCCGCCAUGACGAGCUUGGACUCUGGGGGUCUUGCCGGCCUAGCGUCGGCUCCUCUCAAACGGAUCAGCUUGCCAGUGUUUGGUGGCGUCACGGGUGUGAUAACUAUCUACGCUUGUGGUUUUCCGCCAUGCAACCUUCAGCGAUGGAGGUUCGCUGGAGCUCACAGAUGUCUCUCCUCGGUGAGGACGGCUUUUGAAC
rnacentral:misc_RNA from 1 species